GGAGGCCUUUGGGGGGCUUUGCGGCGGCUGGAGAGCCGCGGAACGGCUGUUGGAUGUUUCGCUUGUGCGCAUGCGCGGGGUGGAGCGUAGGCUCUUGGAGGCAGGCGGAGAGUUGGUUUUCCGGGACCUCGUGGCGCAACGGUAGCGCGUCUGACUCCAGAUCAGAAGGCUGCGUGUUCGAAUCACGUCGGGGUCACUGUGUUCCCGUGGCGGGUUCACUUUUUCACUCCAGGAGAGCGUUGUUCUGCUCGGGGGAUGCAUAGAGAGGAAAAGAGGGGGGCAAAGUCUGAGCCGCGGCACGGAUACAGCGUCGCAGUGCUCUGUUUUCCCUCUGCUGUUAGGAUUUUCAUUAAGACAAAGGGGCUGGGAGGGGAAAUGAUCGCUUUUUGGAUGCGUCCUCCACGGCACUGCGCUCCCUGGAAUUGGGGUGGGGUGGCUGCAGGACGGAUCCUGCUGUGGGGUUGGAAUGAGGGAGAGUGGAAUGCGUCUGCUCAGUAGUUUCAAAAGCAAGCGUCGCCGAAAGGCUUUUCUUUGUGUUUUAAUGCGUGGUUUGGGGUUUUUUGUUUGGUCUGUUUCAGGGUCAGAGGGCUGCUGAUGAGCUCUGCGCAGAGCAUUGCUUCCCUCGCCCUGCCCUGCUGUGAGCUGCACUGAGCAGAGGAACAUCGGCCCUUCAGGGUGACUUUAUGUGUCCCCUUUUCUGCCUAUCCGUGCAUUAAAGUGAGCGAGUAUCCAUCAGUGCUGUGGCUUCUUCCUGAAACCUUCAGCCCGGGGGUCACAACACCAACACCCCCUAUUAGAAUCAUAGACUCAUAGCAUGGCCUGGGUUGAAAAAGACCCCAAUGCUUAUCAGUUCCAACCCCCUGCUAUGUGCAGGGUCGCCAACCAGCAGCCCAGGCUGCCCAGAGCCACAUCCAGCCUGGCCUUGAAUGCCUGCAGGGAUGGGGCAUCCACAGCCUCCUUGGGCAAUGAGCUCCCCCCGUGCAUUCAUUUGCACCUCUCCUCCAAUGCAGCCUCUCAGUGUUGACCUCCUGUGAUGGUUCGGAUGGUUUCCAACUUCUUUUGAAGCAUUACCCCUUGGAAAGGUUUCUUUCCCAUUGACUUCUCCAUCGGUUGCCGUGGAGAGCAGCGAUGUCACAGUGGGGAAGGCUGCACUCCAUGGACAGCACACAGAGAGCAGGCUUCCUCCUGGCCAUGUGAGCAAGUAAGGGGUGUCCUCUGGAGCGCUGCCACCCCUGUAUGGGUGAACCUCAUCUUCCUGACCUCCCCCUUCAGCACAGUGUUUUACUGGAGAUGUCUGUGUGUGCCUCUGGCUGGGAUUUUGGGUCCCUUGGGACCCAAUGGAAACGGGCUGUGGAUGCCAUCGAGGUGGUUGUGCUUUAUCGUGUCCUGAUUGCUGUACUCGUGUACAGUGAGCAGAGAGCAUUGCUCACACUGGAAAGGCAUAACAGGGAGAUCCAGAGCCUUGUAAGGGGAAGCAAAUGAGGUGUGUCUCCAGGCAAGAUUCCUGCUCCUUAAGCCAAGCAGUCUGUGCUCGCUGGGGUUUAUUUCCACCCCCAUUGGGAUGGUGCAUCUUGUAAUAAAAAUCUAUUCACAGGCGACCGAUGCACGAAGGAGCAGCUGUUGCAUGCAGUCAUGCACAAUAUUUCAGUGCCAGAAGUGAUUCGUUUACUCUGUGCAAUAUAUAUGGAAAUGUGCUGCAGGAGGAUGGCUGGAAAUAUCCUAUUUUAUUCAUAGAGCUCCAACAAAGCUGAUCUUUGAUUUGUGGGUUGUACGUGCUUUUCCCCUUCAUGCUAUGUCAAAUAAACAGAGGCAUCUAACUUAGUUCUGGUAGAAUUGCUUGGCUGUAUUUAAUCUGUCUCUGUGUGCUGCUUUUAGACUGACAUAUCUGAAUGCAGCAGCUUCAGCACUGAAGGCAUCGACUAAAUGAGGGCUGCCACAGGGAGCUGUAUGGAGAGCAAAUGGAAUCCUGCUGCAGAAACCACUGCAGAUGGGAGAGAUGUCCAAGACCACAUCCGAUGCACUGAUAGGACGACAGAAGGACACUGAAGCUGAGCACGACCCGGAGGAGCUCGAUGUGCAAAACAGAAGUACUGAAGUGACCUUUGAAACAAAGGACUACAAAGUGACAGCAGGCUGCAUUGCUGCCAGCAGUGAGUCGAGUGGAACAUCCAGUGAUGGCCAGGAUGAGGAUGACCAGGAUGAAACAUGCUUUGCUGUUUCUCUGUCUCCCAAAGGAAUCAGGACCAGCAGGAAAAGGCCAAAGAUAAAGAGCAAGCAGUCACCGGUGCAGAAGAAAAUGAGAAUAGUAGAAGUGGAAGAAGAGCCAUUGCUACCAGUAAAGGCGGAGGCUGCAGAAAGAGCAGCUCAGGAACAGGAGAACAGAGCAGAAGUAGCACAGGAAGCGACGGGGCAGUGUGUAUUGUCUGACAUUAUCAUGCUCGUGAUACUCAUCCUCGUUGUAUUCAUGGUCUUCACGCACCUCACUCUGGCAGUGGUGGUCACGGUCUGCUGCUGAGCUUCAGGCUGGGAAGAGAGAGAGAGAGGCAGCAGCCACGUGUCAGCAGUGAGUGCAGAACUGGAGAAUGCGUUUCUUUUCUCUCCCUGAGAUGUGCAAUGAGCUCUUCUGGUGGCCAAUUAAAGGGCUGGGAGGAGAGCGAGAAGUCGGUGCUUUGUGUGUACCUGGUGUUGCUCCAUGCAGUGGUUCCUAUCUGCUGGCAGCGUGAGCUGCUCUGCUGUUCCUCCUCUGAAGCCUGCUUGGCUCAGAGCUGGGAGCUGUGCGUGGCUUGGAGUUAACUGAGCUGCUCCAGGUGGGGUCACCCCAGUUUAGAAUCAUAGAAUCGCCAGGGUUGGAAAAGACCUCCAAGAUCAUCCAAGUCCACCCAUCCACCAACCACCAAUAUUUCUCCACUGAACCACUUACAAGAAGGCCGGGUACCAGAGGUGAUGGCAAAAGAGCAACAAGAGGUUCCUCACCUACUACUGACUGUUAUCUUUGAGAAGGUAAAGCUCCUCUAUGCUCCGGUUGUAUUACAGCUGGGGAAACACCAAGCUGGCAAGACAGGCAAUGGCUCUAACCUAAUACAAGCCAUGGAGGCUCAAGGAAGGGGUUAACCACAUAGCCUUGUCCAUCUGGAAAUGUUACUGAGAAGGGGGAAUGGUGACAGUGCCCGGUGCUGUUAUAUUGGGCCUUUGCUUUGGUAUACAAAUGUUCCUAAUUCCUUCUCUUAAAAAAAUAAUGGAGUGGGAGGAAGAAUGAGAGCAAGAUCCUGGCCAUGUGAGGUGCUGCAGCUUAAGCUGUGCUUCGAAAGGAACCUCUCAGUCUGUUGCAUAGGAGGUGGGCUUGCUGGGUGUGCUGGAAGUGACAGCCGCAGCCUCAGGCAGUGGUAGCAACCCUGAUACUGUGACCAGUCCUGCAAUGGGGUCUGCGCUCAGCUGCAAGUCUCGUUAGAGUUGGAUUUCAAUUAAAAGCACAUUCCUUAAUUCAAACUGGGGAGACACAGAGCUUCCUCCACCCCCGGAGGAGUUCGGUUUGUGCCAAGUCUCCUCCAGCUCCCUGGAAAAGGAGUGUGGCAGCGUGGGAUCCUGCCAGAGCUGAGCAGGAACUCAUCCUCCUUCCCUGGGGGUUGAGCCCAGCACGUGCUGUGCUUGUUCAUUUUAUGGAGCACAUCACCAAAACAAACACGGAGCGGUGCAGAGGUGGUGAGCUGUGCCCCAUCCCACCUCACACCCCCCUGCUCCCAGUUUCCUGGCUUCCCAGGCACUGAAGGUGAUGGUUGGGGUAUCUGUCACACAUGUGAUAACUCAGCUUGUUUUCUUGGCUAACAGCAGUGGGUCAGGUGUGAGGUAAGGAAAUAAGGUUGCAGUGCCUCUCUGUUCUUGCAUGCUGCGUACUAAAGGAGCUAUGGAGGACUGCAUUGGAACUGCUCAUGAUCAUCCCGGGUCGCCUUGGGCACCUCUAAAUACAGUAAUUCUUCCCCAUAAGGUUUUACUUUAAAUGUGUUUGGUAGGGUUUGAGGCCUCGUAGUGCCUGCUUUUGCCCUCUUCCUGUGACUCCUAUGGGAUUGUUGGUGCUCCAUCCCAUUGCCACGCACUGCCCCAGCUCUGCUGCUGACCCAUCCUGGGGACACAUCCCAAGCUCUCCGCAUCUCCAGCUUAAUGCACUGCAACCUUCUCUACCAGAGAGCUGUCAGCAAGGAUCUGUGCCUGGAGGAAACAGCCCAGGCAGAGUAAUGAGAGCAGAAUCAGUGCUAAAUGGGGAACAGCCGAAGUGCUGCAGCAUGGAGGUCAAUUGUAAGCAGCUUUGCUGUAGAAAAGCACUGUGUUCUGAGACACCCCCAGGAUGGGCGGUAGUUGGACUCAAAGAGAGGAGGCUGUAGAGGAUGAGAGGUGGUCUGAUGGGUGAGCAGCUCUUCUUCCUUCACUGUUGGCCUUGUUCUGUGUGGGGAUGGCUUUUCUCUGCUGCCAUCGUCGUCUGAGCAGCUCAGAAUGCACCCAUUGCCCCUCCUGGCUUUGCUGGGCUGAGCUCUGUGCAAACAUUGCUGGAGAUCCUGGAGCAGCCAUGGAAGUGCUUGCUGGGUUGGAUGUGAAUUGCUGCAGACGGACACAUGCAGAGCAUCACAAAGGCAUUGAGUGGUGGAGCCCGGAAUAGAACUUCCAGACCCAAUGAGAACAGGAUAAAAGCACAUUGAUGGAGAUUCAUGUGUUUGCCCAUGAAUUUGGCUUAGGGGAUCAGCAAAACAGAAGGAAGGAGAUGCUCUGGUGGAAGUAUUUCCUUGUGCCAACCUUUGAACCAAAGCAUCUGACAUUACUUCCUUUUGAAAGUGGUCUUCUUCUUAAAGCACUAAAUACUUCCCCAUGCAGCCCCCCCAGAGGAAAGGAAUAUCCUCUACAAUGUGAAUGAACGCUUUUGCCGCUAGGAAUCAAUUCACGGAUGUUAUAUUUCUGCUGAAUCAAAUCAGAAUGAUCCCAAUGCUUUCCCCCCUCCCUGUGCCCCUUUCAGACCUGCUCCUUGCAGCCCUGCUGGGUGCUCUGUCAAUGAUUAACCCCUGCUUCCUUUGAAGCCCAGACAGCAAAACCCACAGUCCAAAGUCCCUGUGCUUGCUCAGGGCUCUGCCCUUGGGCUAUAAAAACCCUCAGGUGCUCCUCUGCAUCACCACAUUGGGCUGCUGGGGCCAGCAGGUGGGGUCCCCCAUUGCAACGCAUGCUCUGAAUGCAAAGAGGUGCAGCAAAGCAUCGCUUUAUCUCCCAAUCCUGCUAACUGCAGCUGAUCUCCAGCCUCACUGCGGGCUCUUUUCGCAGCAGCUGUCUGCUCUGAGUGCCUGGUUGCAUGAGAUGGUGUCUCCCUGUGUUUGUCAGAGAGGCGCACGCAGCUGGUGGAUUUCUCCCCAUGAGUGAAGCGUUCUGAUGGAGAGAUCCCAAAGCUCUCAGCUCCUGUCUGCCUGCAUUACAGUGACUCUGUGCUGCGGCCAGCUCAGGGCCCUGCGGGAGAGAGAGCUAAUUAAUUAACUAGUUAAUUAACUGUCAGGAUGCCAGAUCUCUGCAAGAAAUGACAGGGCCAGACUGGCUGCUGCCUCCAGUCCUGCAGUGUCCAACAGCCCCAGGGUAAUGCUGGCACCCAGGUGUGCAUGGCAAGCAUUGCAUGGAUUUAUUGCCUUCAUCCACACGAUUCUGAUUUCUUCAGCAGGAACGUUUGUUGGGUGUGUAGGAGUGCUUGCUGGCUUUCUCCCCGUCUUCCAUCUCCUCGUGUUCACCACUCCUCACUCAAACACAUACAUGGAGUGGUCCCACUGAGAGCAUCCAUUGGGUGGAGUUGGCUCAACCCAGAGAUGAAGCUGAAAAUAAAAUACUACUUUUCGGUUUAUUUGGGUAACUGACAGGAAUUCCAGCAACCUUCCUGCUGUUCCCAUGGAAACAGCUGUUGGCUUGCAGGAGCUGCUCCAGGUACCCAGCACUGCUGCUGUUCCUUUAACACUGACGUCACCUUUGCCAUUUCAAUUUGCAGAAGUUACCUUUUCCCAUUUUGCAGCACAGCUCUGGAGUUUCCCUGGGCCAUCCCCAUCCAAAGGGACGCAAAGCUGUGCAGUUUUCCCCACUUGGAAAGCAUCCACCUUGUUUUCAGCUUGGUGAUGCCUUACGAAGACGAAAGGAUGUUUGCAAAUGGGACUGAUGCUGCUGUCCUGAGCCAAGGCUCUCUUUGGCCCCCCAGCCCACCGUGCACAUGGAAAUGCCUUUUCCCUAUGGGAAGGCUUCCUCUUGGAGGCAGGAUGGAGAGCUGCAGGAUGGAGAGGUGCAUUCGUGUGCCCAUUCCCACACCCCAGGUAUCUCUGGUGCCCAUCCAGCAUUGAUGGGAGCGGGCAUAAAACUUUGGGCUCUGUGUUCCCACCAACGUUUGGCCUUUGCAGAACUCUGGAGAGGACUCAAGAAUCACAGCAUGGCUUUGGUUGGAAGGGACCUUAAAGAUCACACUGUUCCAACCCGCUGCCCUGGGCAGGGUUCAGUAUAAAGACGUUCUCUUCUCUAUGGAGAAGCCUGUAUGAACUGAAUUGAGCAGAAGGAGGAGGAUAUUGAGGAGGAAACCCCAACAGCUGCUGAUAAGGGCUUGAGUGGGCAUCCUGGCUUAGGACUGCAGCACAGACAGCAGUGGUUGCACGAGAAGGGCUUUUCCCUAUAGCAAAGCUCCAAGUUUGCUUUGAACCAAAGCAGCAGCAAUGCUUUCCCUUUGCCCAUCCCAUUCAUUUCCUUCAGCUCGCAGCCUCUCCUCCCCUUCCCCAUGAAAGCCACUUUCCUGCAGCUGCAUUUUGGUGGUCUGAGGUUCCUUUUUGCGCCGUCUCUUCCCUCUGGUUGUGAGCUCACAGCCUGCAAACUCACUGCAACCCUUCCCUCAGCUGCUGGGCUGACCUGCAAGCAAACUGCUUACUGACAACAGCAGCCCACAAAUACAAGCAUCCAGUAAUGGCAGGCUGCUCAUAGCACCCCCCCCCUACACACACACACCCCCGUUAAAACCCAUUUCC
ensembl:lncRNA